rnacentral:rRNA from 1 species
AUCCGGGUUGCGGACAGUGUCUGGUGGGUAGUUUGACUGGGGCGGUCUCCUCCUAAAGAGUAACGGAGGAGCACGAAGGUUGGCUAAUCCUGGUCGGACAUCAGGAGGUUAGUGCAAUGGCAUAAGCCAGCUUGACUGCGAGCGUGACGGCGCGAGCAGGUGCGAAAGCAGGUCAUAGUGAUCCGGUGGUUCUGAAUGGAAGGGCCAUCGCUCAACGGAUAAAAGGUACUCCGGGGAUAACAGGCUGAUACCGCCCAAGAGUUCAUAUCGACGGCGGUGUUUGGCACCUCGAUGUCGGCUCAUCACAUCCUGGGGCUGAAGUAGGUCCCAAGGGUAUGGCUGUUCGCCAUUUAAAGUGGUACGCGAGCUGGGUUUAGAACGUCGUGAGACAGUUCGGUCCCUAUCUGCCGUGGGCGCUGGAGAACUGAGGGGGGCUGCUCCUAGUACGAGAGGACCGGAGUGGACGCAUCACUGGUGUUCGGGUUGUCAUGCCAAUGGCACUGCCCGGUAGCUAAAUGCGGAAGAGAUAAGUGCUGAAAGCAUCUAAGCACGAAACUUGCCCCGAGAUGAGUUCUCCCUGACUCCUUGAGAGUCCUGAAGGAACGUUGAAGACGACGACGUUGAUAGGCCGGGUGUGUAAGCGCAGCGAUGCGUUGAGCUAACCGGUACUAAUGAACCGUGAGGCUUAACCUUACAACGCCGAAGCUGUU